rnacentral:rRNA from 1 species
UACGAAGGGGGCUAGCGUUGCUCGGAAUGACUGGGCGUAAAGAGCUCGUAGGCGGCUUGGCAAGUCGGGUGUGAAAACUCCAGCUCAACCUGGAGACGCCACCCGAUACUGCCAUGGCUUGAGUCCGGUAGGGGACCACGGAAUUCCUGGUGUAGCGGUGAAAUGACGCAGAUAUCAGGAGGAACACCGGUGGCGAAGGCGGUGGUCUGGGCCGGUACUGACGCUGAGGAGCGAAAGCGUGGGGAGCGAACAGG